GACGAACGCUGGCGGCGUGCUUAACACAUGCAAGUCGAACGGAAAGGCCCUGCUUGCAGGGUACUCGAGUGGCGAACGGGUGAGUAACACGUGGGUGAUCUGCCCUGCACUUCGGGAUAAGCCUGGGAAACUGGGUCUAAUACCGGAUAGGAGCCAUUUUUAGUGUGAUGGUUGGAAAGUUUUUUCGGUGUAGGAUGAGCUCGCGGCCUAUCAGCUUGUUGGUGGGGUAAUGGCCUACCAAGGCGGCGACGGGUAGCCGGCCUGAGAGGGUGGACGGCCACAUUGGGACUGAGAGACGGCCCAGACUCCUACGGGAGGCAGCAGUGGGGAAUAUUGCACAAUGGGCGCAAGCCUGAUGCAGCGACGCCGCGUGGGGGAUGACGGCCUUCGGGUUGUAAACUCCUUUCGCUAGGGACGAAGCUUUUGUGACGGUACCUAGAUAAGAAGCACCGGCUAACUACGU
rnacentral:rRNA from 1 species